rnacentral:misc_RNA from 1 species
GAUGAAGAACGUAGCUAAAUGCGAUAAGUAAUGUGAAUUGCAGAAUUCCGUGAAUCAUCGAAUCUUUGAACGCACAUUGCGCCCCCUGGCAUUCCGGGGGGCAUGCCUGUUCGAGCGUCAUUUCAACCCUCAAGCACAGCUUGGUGUUGGGACUCGCGUUAAUUCGCGUUCCCCAAAUUGAUUGGCGGUCACGUCGAGCUUCCAUAGCGUAGUAGUAAAACCCUCGUUACUGGUAAUCGUCGCGGCCACGCCGUUAAACCCCAACUUCUGAAUGUUGACCUCGGAUCAGGUAGGAAUACCCGCUGAACUUAAGCAUAUCAAUAAGCGGAGGA